rnacentral:rRNA from 1 species
UACGUAGGGUGCAGGCGUUAAUCGGAAUUACUGGGCGUAAAGCGUGCGCAGGCGGUUUCUUAAGUCAGAUGUGAAAGCCCCGGGCUUAACCUGGGAACUGCGUUUGAAACUGGGAGACUUGAGUGUGGCAGAGGGGGGUGGAAUUCCACGUGUAGCAGUGAAAUGCGUAGAUAUGUGGAGGAAUACCGAUGGCGAAGGCAGCCCCCUGGGAUAACACUGACGCUCAUACACGAAAGCGUGGGGAGCAAACAGG